rnacentral:lncRNA from 1 species
GACGUCGAAAGAAAUAGUAGAUUCCUUACCAAAACCUUAAUAUUUUCUCUUUCAUCGUUUUCCUUUCUUUCUCUUCUUCUCUCACUAGACUACUAUCUAUCUCUCUCUUUAAAUCUUUAAAAAAUUGAAGAAUGGGAGUGUGGAGAGGAAAGGAACGGGAAGGGCAACUUAUAGAGUUUUAAAACAUCGCGUCACAGGAGAACCUAACCCUAGCCGCCCAACCCAUGCCAGAGAAGAAGAACCAUACACUGGAGAAAGAGGCCGAUCCCCGGCUACCGCUGCACUGAAGCCACUGCUGAUCGCAAAAAAAU